UACGUAGGGUGCAAGCGUUGUCCGGAAUUAUUGGGCGUAAAGAGCUCGUAGGCGGUCUGUCGCGUCGGACGUGAAAAUCCAGGGCUCAACCCUGGACCUGCGUUCGAUACGGGCAGACUAGAGUUCGGUAGGGGAGACUGGAAUUCCUGGUGUAGCGGUGAAAUGCGCAGAUAUCAGGAGGAACACCGGUGGCGAAGGCGGUUCUCUGGGCCGAUACUGACGCUGAGGAGCGAAAGCAUGGGUAGCGAACAGG
rnacentral:rRNA from 1 species